UCUUCCCGACCCGCUACUUCGCCGACUUACCCAGACCAUUUGGGCACGUGAAAAAUAGUUUUACCAGCAGGGGAAUCUCCAAUUAGCAUUGGAGAUUCGAUGUAAUAAACUCGGAGGUCGGUGGGAACAAAUUUUUUGCCGGAAAUCGAGCUAGAAUAAGGAAGAAAAACAUUAUCCCGCGCAAAGAACAUGCUCGAUGGAAAUUCUGAGAGAGAGAAAGAGAGAUUUCUAGAGAGAAAGGGAGUCGAGGCUCCCAAGACCGAGCGAUCGACGCUUUUCCGACUGGAAAAGCGCUGGCGAAUCAGCCUAGACAAUGGGCCUCCUCACAUGAGACGAUCGGUGCAAGCUUGGUCGCCAGCGCCUGAAAAUCGAGCUCGGCCGACGUGUUCAGGAGCUCCCCGACGAAUCUGAGGCCAUCAGCUUGGAUCUCAAGCGUUGAGGAAAAUCUCUACUGUGGUUGAUUGUCUCGGAAACAUCAUUUUCACCUUCAACGAAGCAGGUGUCAGUGUGGCCAGAGCAGGUGCUAAUAAGGUAAUGCAGGAAAAAAUGUGCUGUCACCAGGGUAGGAAUGGAUAGAGGUGCUGUCGGCAAAGCUGAAGAUCUUGGAGUUGGGAUGGCUGGUAUUUGGUGCUUCUGCCUGUGCUGGUGUUCACAGCAGCUGAUACACCAGUGAGGCUGAGGCUAAUGCAGCAACUGUAGUGCUGAUCCUAAUUAUGAUGAUGGCAGUUCUGGUGGUUAAGACCCUGGCCUCAUUAUCCUUUCUGUGGUGGUGGCAGAGUGACAAAGAGAGGGUAGUGAUGGGAAAUCGAUUGCAACAGUAAUGCUUGCAAUGCUGACCAAAACUUCUCUGGUUGAUGAUAGUCAGCGCAAGGAUUUUAGUUCUUUCAACAGGAGUAUGUAGUCAUUCAUUGAGCAGGAUGCUCUGGUCCCUUACAGAGAGGAAUUUUCUUGUAUUGCGUGGAGGAGUGGGUGGCUGAAUGCCUGAUAUUCCUCAGGGCUAUCAUGACAUUACUUGGCAGGUUAAAGGACUUUGUUGAUCUAACUGUCAAGCAGAGGUGUGGAGAGUAACGUUCUUCUCAGGACUCAUUACUGAAUUUUCAUCAUCUUGAAGGGGAUAUCAUCCAUGCUCAGAAACCUUGUGGAAAGGAUUCAAGCAACAGGUUCAAGACUGCAUGCAGAAGGUGAGCAUAUGCAACAAGCUGGAGGAUUGGUGGUUUCCAGAAGUAGUUUAUCAUUAGCAUGAGGAUAGGAUCAUAUUGAGUGAUCAGUAAAUGGCUCAAGAAGCUUAAAGGCAAGAAAAUGAAAAGGAGGGAAGCAAAAUAAGUUUUCAUUGAAAAUGGAGUCAUUGAGAAUAUAUGUGGAUAGGUUUCAUCCAAUCUAGGGGACAAUGGAUGUUUAAAAAAUCAGUUCCAGCUAAUCUAUAGAUCAGGUAAGAUCUUAACUAGAUAAUUUAGCCACCUCAUAACUUGCCAUUAGGGCUAGUGAAAGAAACAGGAGUUGGAUCUGAAAACAAAGUCAGUAUAAGUCUUUUUAGUGGUACAAUGCAGUUACAUGCUAGUGAAGAGCU